GACCGUCAAUGGGGGCGUGUCCGGUGUCGCUGACGGUCAGGUGAGCUGGACUGUGCUGCAGCGGCGGCGUCUCCUCGUCAUGGUAACGGUACUUCUGCACACACACACACACACACACACACACACACACACACACACACACACACACACACACACACACACACACAAAGAGAACAGCCGGAUUGAUCUCAGACACACUAAUGUCAGUGUAAGUGUACACACACACACACACACACACAGACACACUCUCUCUCUCACACACACACACACACACGCUCUCUCUCAGUCACACACACACACACACGCACUUGCUCUCUCUCACACACACACACACACACACACACACUCUCUCUCUCUCUCUCUCACACACACACACACACACUCUCUCUCACACACACACACACACACACACUCGCUCUCACACACACACACACACACUCACACACACUCUCUCUCUCACACACACACACACACACGCUCUCUCUCAGUCACACACACACACACACGCACUUGCUCUCUCUCACACACACACACACACACACACACACUCUCUCUCUCUCUCUCUCACACACACACACACACACUCUCUCUCACACACACACACACACACACACUCGCUCUCACACACACACACACACACUCACACACACUCUCUCUCUCACACACACACACACACACGCUCUCUCUCAGUCACACACACACACACACGCACUUGCUCUCUCUCACACACACACACACACACACACACACUCUCUCUCUCUCUCUCUCACACACACACACACACACUCUCUCUCACACACACACACACACACACACUCGCUCUCACACACACACACACACACUCACACACACAUACAGACACACACACAGAUGCCGGGGAUUGUGGGAUUGUCCAGACGGGGGCGACACAGAGCUGCUCAGUAUUCCACUCAGAGCUCACUGCAGAGCUGAGGAGGAGGAGUGAUGAUGAUGAUGAUGAUGAUGAUGUCAUCAGAGAGGGACGAAACGCC
rnacentral:lncRNA from 1 species